rnacentral:rRNA from 1 species
AUGCCAUGGAGCCGCCAGAGGGGUAGGCGAAGCGUGUACUGGCGAGGAUCACUUUACGCGCAAUUUUAUGGUGUGUUUCUUGUGAGGUUAUCUUUAUCGAAUGGGAAGUAUCGAGUAAUCGAAACACCGAUAAAUGACGAGGAGAGCAUUCCCGUGCAGUCUUAUGUUGGGAGAUCGGAAAAUGGCGUGUACUUUGCAACAGUUUAUGAUGGAUGUCGACUUCAGGUUUGGACUCUCAUGGAAUCGAGUGAACGGGUGGAUUGGGUGUCAAAGAAACAUAUUGAUCUGGGAACUACAACUCUACCAUUGUACCCGCCAGAUUAUAUGGAGGGAAUUGAAAAAACUUGGAUUUUGGACGACGAUGAUGAUGUGAAUGGCAACAAUAGAAACAUAAAGACGGAAAAUUUGGACUGGGACUCCGACGAUGAUAACAUUGUGAAUAUUGAAGAUUCUUAUCAAUAUUCCCACACCUAUGUCUCCUUUCUUGGGUUUCAUCCCUACAAAGAAGUUGUUUUCUUGGCGUUGACAUCAUACAAAGGACCAGUUGCAAUGGCUUAUCAUUUGAACAACUCGAAAUUUCAGUAUCUGGGACAGCUAGCAGAUUACUUACAUGGCGCUCGCAUACAAGGAUCAUUUCCGUACACCCCCUGCGUGACUGGGCAUCUUCUAUAUCACUUCACAGAGUAG